CCUACGGGCGGCAGCAGUGGGGGAUAUUGCACAAUGGGGGAAACCCUGAUGCAGCGACGCCGCGUGGGUGAAGAAGCGCCUCGGCGCGUAAAGCCCUGUCAGCAGGGAAGAAAAUGACGGUACCUGAAGAAGAAGCCCCGGCUAACUACGUGCCAGCAGCCGCGGUAAUACGUAGGGGGCAAGCGUUAUCCGGAUUUACUGGGUGUAAAGGGGGCGCAGACGGCGAUGCAAGCCAGGAGUGAAAGACCGGGGCCCAACCCCGGUACUGCUCUUGGAACUGCUGGGCUAGAGUGCAGGAGGGGCAGGCGGAAUUCCUGGUGUAGCGGUGAAAUGCGUAGAUAUCAGGAGGAACACCGGUGGCGAAGGCGGCCUGCUGGACUGCAACUGACGUUGAGGCCCGAAAGCGUGGGGAGCAAACAGGAUUAGAUACCCGGGUAGUC
rnacentral:rRNA from 1 species